UGCCUGUAAUGUCUUCUUGAGACCUUGCACAAACAAUUCGUGCUGACUAAUGCCCUGUCCCAUAAUCGCUGCUCAACUUACCGAGGUGCAAAAAGACGGCAGGUCCACGUCAAUUGCAAGCCUCUCCCGUGUCGAGUGUGCUCUUUGUUCCUCAAUCUUAAUCUUAGGGCCCCUGAGCAGCGUCCUUCACUGGAUCCCCCGUUCUCUGGCCGCACGUUGGGCGCCACUUGUCCCGGCCCGCGGCACACACUUGUCUCAGUCAAUUUUUUUCAAAGCCCACAAGCUAACUCUAGCGAAAAUGAGUAAAAAACAAAUGUCACUGGAGAGCUUCAUUAAAAAGAGGGAAGAGCCAAUGAUGAGACAGCAGAUGACUCUAAGACUGUGAACAAAAAGCUGGCCUUCAGAAAAUACCAGGAGUCUGGGCUAGGGAUUUAGCUCAGUGGUUCUGCUGCCUGCCUCGCCAGCACAAGGACCUGAAUUUGAUCCCUGGUACCAAAAAAAAAAAAAGAAAAGAAAAUACCAAGACUCCUACUUAAAUUACAUGGUUAUCACAACAGGUGAUUAUAUUCUCCACACC
rnacentral:lncRNA from 1 species